rnacentral:rRNA from 1 species
UACGUAGGGUGCAAGCGUUAAUCGGAAUUACUGGGCGUAAAGCGUGCGCAGGCGGUUUUGUAAGUCAGAUGUGAAAUCCCCGGGCUCAACCUGGGAACUGCAUUUGUGACUGCAUCGCUGGAGUGCGGCAGAGGGGGAUGGAAUUCCGCGUGUAGCAGUGAAAUGCGUAGAUAUGCGGAGGAACACCGAUGGCGAAGGCAAUCCCCUGGGCCUGCACUGACGCUCAUGCACGAAAGCGUGGGGAGCAAACAGG